AUGAGCAGUUUGAUUGCUUUUCAAAGAAACCUGUUGGAGAAAAUUGAUAAAGAAAUUACAAGGAAUCCAUCAGAUGAAGAAGAAGAUGUUCAAUCAGAUCAGGGACGGGAGGAGAAACAAAAGUCGUCAUGGGGCUCAUCAUCGGAGGGCAGCGACGCUGACCUGCCCGAUGAGAGUGAAGGAAAGGCGGAACUAAAGACUGAAGCAGCAGAAGUCCAGCCACAGAUACUGUCACUGCUUUCUACCCCCCCAGUGGAUCCAACUAAAGACCAGCUGAGCCAUUCUUCUCCUCACUCUACAAACAGACCCGGUGUAGACGGUCCAGAUGAUUCAGAGUGGGAUUCUUCUGAAAAUAAUGUCGGUUCUGUUGGAAAACCUCAAGUAGCGUCACAGGAUUCAAAUGUUGUGACGUCCAAACAAACCAAAGAACGCUCUUCAGCAGAUGAUGAAAGCCUUGAGAAAGAGCCAGAUGACCCCUCUCCUGUGGUGUCAGAGGCACCUGAGGAUGAUGAGACCACCAGAAACCAAGUCUUAGAUGACGACGAUGCAGAAAUGGAAGAAAAAUCCCACUCUGGGGGUGAAAAAGAAGACAGCUGGGAUGAUGAAGAAGAGGAAUCCCUGUCCAACUUGAACAAAUUACCUUCAGGACAGGUUGAGCCCACAGGGGAAACAGAGGGAUAUGGGGCUGAAGGCUGUGAGGGGAACCAAGCGUUGGCCCCCUCAGUCUGUGUCAGAAAGGACGGCUCUGCGGCGGGUGUAAAGUCUCAGGAGUGGAGGGAGGACUCGGACAGCAAGCAUCACAUACUGCAGAACGACUUUGGCGGGGCCUCGAUCAAAGUGCUCUGUGACAGAGAAGAUCCUCCUCCUUCAACCGAUGGAUGCACAGACCUCCCCGCCAAGCUGACCGCUUUUAUCCCACUCAAAUUUAAAGGAGCAGAGCUGUCAGCGGAUGAAAGGGAAACAGGAAGACACUGGUUUUCAAGUCCUCCCUCCAAUGAUGUCGACACCAACGGUUCAGAGAACGAUGAGGCGUUACCUCAAACUGACAUCGAUGACGUUGAUUUGGACUCACCUGGUGAGGCUGAUAUUUCAGAAGCCCACCAAGUCAGAAAUAUUAACGAAACUGGCAUUCAGGUAAACCGGUAUCACCUCCUGUUGUAA
rnacentral:lncRNA from 1 species